AGGUUAGAACAAGCAAGUAGCUCCCUGUGGAGGAAACCAUAAGAAAACUUCCAUUUCCUCUUUGAUUACGACUGAACUAGACUUAAGAUCAGUCUCUGCGCCAGGCGCAGUGGUUCAUGCCUGUAGUCCCAGCUACUCGGGAGGCUGAGACAAGAAGAUCACUUCAGCCCAGGAGUUUGAGCCUGCAGUGAGCUAUGAUUGCGCCACUGCACUCCAGCCUGGGCAACAGAGUGAGACUCUGUCUCUAAAAAAUAAUAACAAAUGAAAAGAUCAGCGGUUGGAGUUUCUUUUUAAUCCAGGCAUUCUGUCAACAUGCCAGUUCUGAAUGGUCACUUUAAGGAAGUGCUGAGUCACCUAUGUUUCCUAAGAAGGCAGCCUAGUAAUGGAAAAAAAAAAAAAAAAGUGAUGAAACCCAAGUUUUAGCCUCAAGUAAUUACCUGAGAAAAUGAGUCUAACUCAUAAAAUGAGACGGGAAAUGCAGUUAAAAUUCAUAAAGCAAAAAUAAGUUGUUGAAAAGUAGGUAAAUUAAAAACUCAAGAUACAAGGUUAGCAAAAUUAACUUUAUUAUUAUUUAUUUGAAACGGGGUAUUGCUCUGUUGUCCUGGCUGGAGUACAGUGGUGUGAUCUUGGCUCACUGCAACUUCCGCCUCCUGGACUUAAGCGAUCCUCUCACCUCAGCCUCCAGAAACUUUAAAACAAGUUCACACAUACUGAUUAAUCUAAACUCACCCUCUCCAUUUCUGCCUAAUUAUUCCCAAUAAGGUAUUACUAACAAUUAAGAUAUUAGUAGCUGUGGCAGCCGGGCCCAGUGCUUAUGCCUGUGAUCCCAGCACUUUGGGAGGCCAAGGCAGGCAGAUCACUGGAGGUUGGGAGUUUGAGACCAGCCUGACCAACGUGGUGAAACCCCGUCUCUACUAAAGUACAAAAUUAGCCGGGUGUGGUAGCACGCACCUGUAAUCCCAGCUACUUGGGAGGCUGAGGCAGAAUCGCUUGAACCUGGGAGGAGGAGGUUGUGGUGAGCAGAGAUUGCACCAUUGCACUGCAGCCUGGGCAACAAGAGCGAAACUCCAUCUUCCAAAAACAAACAAACAAACAAAAAUAUAUAUAUAUACACACACUAUAUAUAUAUACACAUAUAUAUAUAUACACACACUAUAUAUAUACACACUAUAUAUAUACACUAUAUAUAUAUACACUAUAUGUAUAUACACUAUAUAUAUAUACACACUAUAUAUAUAUAUACACUAUAUAUAUAUGUAGCUGUGAUGGCUCCUUAGCAUGAAAGUAUGACCUUGAAAUCUUAGACUUGUCAUUUACAUAUUUAAACUCCAUUAUUCUUUUUUUCUUUUUUUAAGACAGGGUCUUGCUCUGUUGUCCAAGCUAGAGUGCAGUGGCUUGAUCACAGCUCACUGUAGCCUUUAACCUCCUGGGUUCAAGCAAUCCUCCCACCUCAGCCUCCAGAGUAGCUGGGACCACAGGUGCACAUCACCAUAUGCCUAGCUAAAUUUUUUAAUUUUUGGUGGAGGCGAGGUCUCCCUAUGUUGCCCAGGCUGGGAUCCUGUUUUUCUUUUUCUUUUCUUUUGAGACAGUCUUGCUCUGUCACCUAGGCUGGAGUGCAGUGGUACAAUUUCAGCUCACUGCAACCUCUGCCUCCUGGUUUCAAACGAUUCUCAUGCCUCAGCCUCUGGAGUAGCUGGGAUUACAGGUGUGUACCACUAUGCCCGACUAAUUUUUGUAUUUUUAGUAGAGACAGGGUUUCACCAUGUUGGCCAGGCUGGUCUUGAACUCCCGGCCUCAAGUGAUCCUCCCACCUCGGCCUCCCAAAGUGCUGGGAUUAUAGGCUUGAGUCACCGCCUCCGGUGGAUCCUGUUUUCUUGACUGUAUUUCAGGUUUAUGCAGACCAGGUAGGUUUGUGUGUGUGAAACACCCAUGAACAGUGCAGGUACAAUGUGUUUAACAAAGGGUAGCUCUUACUAAAAAGGCAGCCCUGACCUUUACACAGACAGAUGUUGAUAUUUUAGGGCAAAGAAACAUUUGUGUGGUAUCAAACAGUGGCUACCAACUCCAGCCCAUGGAUAACUGAUAAAAGCUUUUAACAAUUAGCCUCCAAAAUAAGAAAAAUAUGAACAAAAUAGUGAAUUUUUCAUAAAAUUAACACUUUUCAUACGCUUAUUCAAACUGAUGGCUAUUUUUGUCCACUAUUCCCAUGUUCUUUUUCACUCUUCUGGUGUCAAACUGUCUUUUACGAAAUACUGGUAAUAAAUUGUAGCUUUUUGAUAUACUCCUGCUUGGAAAAAUCAAAAGUUGGCAAUUGCAUACUAGCCACCCCUAUCCUGCUUUUAAAAUGUUGCUAGUAUGAAAACAACGACUGGGAACCAGUGUUCUAGAGAGGGAGACUUGUUAGAAAUGAGAAAGGCCUUAGGAGACCCGCAGCUCUCUGGAAAACAGGCUUAAAUAAAUUGGAAUCAUCCCGGGGACACUUUCCAAAAUUAUCCAUACUCAACCUCCUAAAAGUAUUGAAUUAGAAAACUGCUGUGCUACAGAAAAAAUGAGGGAUAAACCAAGAAGGAAGAGGAUAGGAAAUCCAGAAACAAGACGUCCAAUACAGGAGGGUGGCAACAGAAAGUCCCGAGGACUGCAGUGUGCACCAGGUCUAGGCAACAACUAGGCAGGAGAGGUGUAUGGGGAGAAGGUAAACUGGUCACUCCAGGAAGACACCACCUGUAUAUUAAAAGGGACGCAAUCACAGUGCAUUAACCUGUGCAGUGAGCAAUAGUAUUCUCCCAGGCAGGCACAGUGACUUCUGGCUGAGGAACAGUUGGCCUGAGGUGACCUUGCAGAGAGAGGGCCAAGGGAAUAAACACUCUGCCUUCAUUCUCCUCCCUCCAGCCAUCUCCUGCUAUGGAUCGCUAUUGGCCAAACCCAGCAGAACCCAGAGACAUGGGAAGUCUGUUGAUGUCUAUACAGCUUCCUUGGGCUGAAAGCAGGAUGAGGGGAGCAGAGACUUGGGAGGGGCAAAUGAAAGACACCUGGCACACUCAUGCUAUGAACACUGAUGAUGUAAGCAAAAUUUACAAAAGCACUUGGGAGGAUGUGUGGGAGGAGCAGAGGCAGUGUAAGAUAGCGGCAUCUCAACCAUUAUGGGAAACAAUGUCUGAAGUUGAUGGCUCAAAAUAUAACAGUAUAGCCAGGCAGUGGCUCAUGCCUGUAAUCCCGACACUUUGGGAGGCUGAGGCAAGAGGAUCACUUUGAGGCCAGGAGUUUGAGACUCGCUUGGGCAACAGAGCAAGACCCCGUCUCUACAAAAAAUUAGCCAGGCGUGGUGGCACACACCUGUAGUCCUAGCAAUUCAGGAGGCUGAGGUGGGAGGAUCACUUGAGCCCAGGAGUUGGAGGCUGUAGUGAGCUAUGAUGAUGCCGCUGCACUCCAGCACCUGGGUGACAGUGAGACCCUGUCUCAAAAAAUAAAAUGUUUAUAUUUUUAUAUUUUUAUAAUUUAUUUAUAAAUAUGGAGAUAAAUUUAAAAAGCCCACAGCUCAGUAGGUAAAACCUUUGAGGAGCAAAGAAGUAGGGACAAUUAGAAACGUUGCAAUAUUACUUAAUUUUUAAAAGAUGAUGUGUGGGCCAGGUGCAGUAGUAGCUCAUGCCUGUAAUCCCAGCACUUUGGGAAGCCAAAGUGGAGGAUCGCUUGAGCCCAGGAGAUCGAGAUCAGCCCAGGCAACAUGACGAAACCCUGUCUCUAUAAAAAAAAUUACAAAAAACAUUAGCUGGGCAUGGUGGUGUGCACCUGUAGUCCCAGCUACUUGAGAGGCUAAGGUGAGAGGAUCACUUCAGGACUGCAGGUCGAGGCCAUAGAGAGCCGUGAUCAUGCUGCUGCACUCCAGCUUGAGUGACAGAGUGAGACCCUGUCUCAAAAACAUAAAUAAAUAAAAAUGAUGUGCAUAUUUAAGAACAAAUUAAUUUUCAAAAAGUUGCUAGAAGGUUACACACAAAAUCAACUGGGGCGGACUCUGGAUGCACUGCCUAUGAAUUAGCCUUGCUCCACAAGGAGCAGCACUGUUCAGGAAAAGACUACUGUCUAACAAAAACAAACCAUACAACAACAACAACAAAAAAACAAUUGGUUACCUCUGUGGAGCUGGAAUAAGGGAAUGAGAGUUGAGAAAAAACAUUCGCUUUUCAUUUAGGAUCCUCUUGCAUUGUUGUACUGUAAAUAUCUGUUAUUUUUAUAAUAGUAUUUAUACCUUAAAAAAGUUUAUUUGCUAAUGAGAAUUUAUCUUAUCCCUCAGGUGGCUUUGGACAGAAAAGCUGAGACCUGCUGAUUUACAUGAUUUAUAUCAAAUAAAGCCCAAGAUAAAAAUCACAUAGCGGCCCAGGUCCAGACCCAGGCCCAGCCAGCCAUAUGAGUGAGCCCAGAACAGCAAAGAACUGCCCAGUCGAGUCACUGCUGCUGAAAACCACUAAAUUUUGGAGUGUCUUGUUACGCAACAAUAGUAAUUGUUGUCCCACCACUACACAGAUGCCAUCACAACAUCCAAAUUCUGCCUUCUGACGUGGUGAAAAAUUUCCCUUUUGAAUAUUUCAAUAGACUUUAAAAGAAAAUGAACUACCAGUUAAACUGAAUGUUUAAUACAUUUGUAGGAACAGAAGAAAUGCAGUAAGGAUUAAAAUUUUAUAAUUAGACAUUAAUGUAACA
rnacentral:lncRNA from 1 species